GCGAUCCAACCGUUCAAUUUAAAGUUCUUAAUACAUAGAUCAAAUCUGUAAAUUUUUAAAAAAUUUGAAAAUCAUUUGAUACUUUGUUUCAUUUAUUCGAAUAAAUGUACAAAAGAUUGUAUAAUUAUCCGUUAAUUUGAAUUAAUGAAAUGAUAUAUCAAAUGAUUUUCAAAUUUUCUAAAAAUUUGCAGAUUUGAUCUAUGUAUUAAGAACUUUAAAUUGAACGGUUGAAUUGU
rnacentral:miRNA from 1 species